rnacentral:rRNA from 1 species
UACAGAGGGGGCAAGCGUUGUUCGGAAUUACUGGGCGUAAAGGGCGCGUAGGCGGCCUGUUAAGUCGAACGUGAAAUCCCCGGGCUCAACCCGGGAACUGCGUCCGAUACUGGAUGGCUUGAAUUCGGGAGAGGGAUGCAGAAUUCCAGGUGUAGCGGUGAAAUGCGUAGAUAUCUGGAGGAAUACCGGUGGCGAAGGCGGCAUCCUGGACCGAGAUUGACGCUGAUGAGCGAAAGCUAGGGGAGCAAACGGG